rnacentral:tRNA from 1 species
GGGCCUGUAGCUCAGUGGUAGAGCACCGCCCUUAUAAGACGGCCGUCGCAGGUUCGAUCCCUGCCAGGCCCA